rnacentral:lncRNA from 1 species
AAAGUGAGACAUCUUGUCAUGCAUUAACAGGGGACCGGAGCUAGUACUAGAGGUCACUUUCUCCGCCAGGAUAAUGAAGAGCUUGGGCCAUGCGUAGGCCCACAUGCAUGGAUAGGCCUAGCAAGACCAUUAGCCAAACAAGGCACAAGUGCCCUGCAAGCCUUAGAUAAGGCUUCUGUUUUUUUCUUUUUUUUUUUGGUCGAAACCUUAGAUAAGGCUUGGAAGGGCUCAAAG